rnacentral:tRNA from 1 species
CUUAUCUUAGUUUAAUUAAGAAUUUAG